AUAAGGCUUCAAUUUGGGGCAAAUUCUUUGCAUUUUUUGGAAAAAAUUCGACAGUCAUUUUUCCUGAAAAACCAAAUUAAACAUUACGGAAGAGUUCAUAACAAAUAAAAUGUUCGGAAAACCCAGCACUACUUAUCACACUGUUUGAUGGAACGUGUAAAUUAGAUGACAACAAAUCACUGUUGAAUAUUAUUUUGCCUUUUCCAGCUCUGCAUUAAGCAGU
rnacentral:misc_RNA from 1 species